GCGGGUGUGGUGGAACUGGCAGACACGCUAGACUUAGGAUCUAGUGCCGCAAGGCGUGGGGGUUCGACUCCCUUCACCCGCA
rfam:Bacillus sp. OxB-1 DNA, complete genome.